rnacentral:rRNA from 1 species
UGGGGAAUCUUGCGCAAUGGCCGAAAGGCUGACGCAGCGACGCCGCGUGAGGGAUGACGGCCUUCGGGUUGUAAACCUCUGUUGCCCGGGACGAACACACCGAAUGAUCGGUGCUGACGGUACCGGGUGAGGAAGCACCGGCUAACUCUGUGCCAGCAGCCGCGGUAAUACAGAGGGUGCGAGCGUUGUCCGGAAUCACUGGGCGUAAAGGGCGCGUAGGCGGUCUGCUAAGCGUGUGGUGAAAGCCCGGGGCUCAACCCCGGGUCGGCCGUGCGAACUGGUGGACUGGAGCAUGUCAGAGGCAGGCGGAAUUCCGGGUGUAGCGGUGGAAUGCGUAGAGAUCCGGAAGAACACCGGUGGCGAAGGCGGCCUGCUGGGACAUUGCUGACGCUGAGGCGCGACAGCGUGGGGAGCAAACAG